UACGUAGGUGGCUAGCGUUGUCCGGAUUUACUGGGCGUAAAGAGCGCGCAGGCGGUCGUUCAAGUCGAGUGUGAAAGCCCCCGGCUCAACUGGGGAGGGUCACUCGAUACUGAUCGACUCGAAGGCAGGAGAGGGAAGCGGAAUUCCCGGUGUAGUGGUGAAAUGCGUAGAUAUCGGGAGGAAUACCAGUGGCGAAGGCGGCUUCCUGGCCUGUUCUUGACGCUGAGGCGCGAAAGCUAGGGUAGCAAACGGG
rnacentral:rRNA from 1 species